rnacentral:misc_RNA from 1 species
ACACCUCAACCCUCACGGUUCCUCGUGAUGGGCUUGGACUUGGGGGCUUUGUUGGCCUGUGGUCAGCUCUCCUCAAAUAAAUCAGCUCGCCAGUGUCUGGCGGCAUCAUGGGUGUGAUAACCAUCUACGCUUGUGAUCGCCUGCGAGGUAAACCUCUGGUCUGCAGAGGUUCGCUGGAGCUUAUAGAUGUCUCUCCUCUGUGAAGACAGCUUUCUGAA